rnacentral:rRNA from 1 species
CCUACGGGAGCAGCAGUGGGGAAUUUUGGACAAUGGGCGCAAGCCUGAUCCAGCAAUGCCGCGUGCAGGAUGAAGGCCUUCGGGUUGUAAACUGCUUUUGUACGGAACGAAAAAGUCUGCCCUAAUACGGUGGGCCCAUGACGGUACCGUAAGAAUAAGCACCGGCUAACUACGUGCCAGCAGCCGCGGUAAUACGUAGGGUGCGAGCGUUAAUCGGAAUUACUGGGCGUAAAGCGUGCGCAGGCGGUUAUAUAAGACAGAUGUGAAAUCCCCGGGCUCAACCUGGGACCUGCAUUUGUGACUGUAUAGCUAGAGUACGGUAGAGGGGGAUGGAAUUCCGCGUGUAGCAGUGAAAUGCGUAGAUAUGCGGAGGAACACCGAUGGCGAAGGCAAUCCCCUGGACCUGUACUGACGCUCAUGCACGAAAGCGUGGGGAGCAAACAGGAUUAGAUACCCUGGUAGUCCACGCCCUAAACGAUGUCAACUGGUUGUUGGGUCUUCACUGACUCAGUAACGAAGCUAACGCGUGAAGUUGACCGCCUGGGGAGUACGGCCGCAAGGUUGAAACUCAAAUGAAUUGACGG